rnacentral:tRNA from 1 species
GCGGGAGUGGCGGAACUGGCAGACGCGCCAGACUUAGGAUCUGGUGCCGCAAGGCAUGGGGGUUCAAGUCCCUUCUCCCGCA